GAUGAACGCUGGCGGCGUGCCUAAUACAUGCAAGUCGAGCGAACGGACGAGAAGCUUGCUUCUCUGAUGUUAGCGGCGGACGGGUGAGUAACACGUGGAUAACCUACCUAUAAGACUGGGAUAACUUCGGGAAACCGGAGCUAAUACCGGAUAAUAUUUUGAACCGCAUGGUUCAAAAGUGAAAGACGGUCUUGCUGUCACUUAUAGAUGGAUCCGCGCUGCAUUAGCUAGUUGGUAAGGUAACGGCUUACCAAGGCAACCAUGCAUAGCCGACCUGAGUGGGGGAUCGGCCACACUGGAACGGAGACACGGUCCUGACUCCUACGGGAGGCAGCAGUAGGGAAUCUUCCGCAAUGGGCGAAAGCCUGACGGAGCAACGCCGCGUGAGUGAUGAAGGUGUUCGGAUCGUAAAACUCUGUUAUUAGGGAAGAACAUAUGUGUAAGUAACUGUGCACAUCUUGACGGUACCUAAUCAGAAAGCCACGGCUAACUACGUG
rnacentral:rRNA from 1 species